rnacentral:rRNA from 1 species
GAUGAACGCUAGCGGCAGGCCUAACACAUGCAAGUCGAGGGGUAGAACACUUCGGUGUUUGAGACCGGCGCACGGGUGCGUAACGCGUAUGCAAUCUGCCUUGUACAGGGGAAUAGCCCAGAGAAAUUUGGAUUAAUGCCCCAUAGUAUAUAACCUUCGCAUGUUGGUUAUAUUAAAGUUCCAACGGUACAAGAUGAGCAUGCGUCCCAUUAGUUAGUUGGUAAGGUAACGGCUUACCAAGACGAUGAUGGGUAGGGGUCCUGAGAGGGAGAUCCCCCACACUGGUACUGAGACACGGACCAGACUCCUACGGGAGGCAGCAGUGAGGAAUAUUGGUCAAUGGGCGCAAGCCUGAACCAGCCAUGCCGCGUGCAGGAAGACGGUCCUAUGGAUUGUAAACUGCUUUUAUACAGGAAGAAACAACUCUACGUGUAGAGUCUUGACGGUACUGUAGGAAUAAGGAUCGGCUAACUCCGUGCCAGCCGCCGCCGUAA